UACGUAGGCAGCGAGCGUUGUUCGGAGUUACUGGGCGUAAAGGGUGCGUAGGCAGUUGUUUAAGUUUGGUGUGAAAUCACCCGGCUCAACUGGGUGGCUGCGGAGGAGACUGGGCAGCUUGAGGGGCCUAGAGGCCGGUGGAACUCCCGGUGUAGUGGUGAAAUGCGUAGAGAUCGGGAAGAACACCAGUGGCGAAGGCGGCCGGCUGGGGGCGCCCUGACGCUGAGGCGCGAGAGCGUGGGGAGCAAACCGG
rnacentral:rRNA from 1 species